AUUGAACGCUGGCGGCAGGCUUAACACAUGCAAGUCGAGCGGGGGAAGGUAGCUUGCUACCGGACCUAGCGGCGGACGGGUGAGUAAUGCUUAGGAAUCUGCCUAUUAGCGGGGGACAACAUCUCGAAAGGGAUGCUAAUACCGCAUACGUCCUACGGGAGAAAGCAGGGGAUCUUCGGACCUUGCGCUAAUAGAUGAGCCUAAGUCGGAUUAGCUAGUUGGUGGGGUAAAGGCCUACCAAGGCGACGAUCUGUAGCGGGUCUGAGAGGAUGAUCCGCCACACUGGGACGGAGACACGGCCCAGACUCCUACGGGAGGCAGCAGUGGGGAAUAUUGGACAAUGGGGGGAACCCUGAUCCAGCCAUGCCGCGUGUGUGAAGAAGGCCUUAUGGUUGUAAAGCACUUUAAGCGAGGAGGAGGCUACUUUAGUUAAUACCUAGAGAUAGUGGGCGUUACUCGCAGAAUAAGCACCGGCUAACUCUGUGCCAGCCGCCGCCGUAA
rnacentral:rRNA from 1 species